AGCCUUUAGCUUCACAAGUAUUAAAGGUCCUGCCUGCCCAGUGAGUAAUUUAACGGCCGCGGUAUCAUAACCGUGCAAAGGUAGCGUAAUCAUUUGUCCCUUAAAUAGGGACCUGUAUGAACGGCUCAAUGAGGGCAAACCUGUCCCCUAAGACCAGUCAAUGAAACUGAUCUGCCAGUACAAAAGCUGGCAUAUAACCACAAGACGAGAAGAUCCUGUGGAGCUUUAAACUCAAACACUACUAAACCCACCACCCAUACCCUAAGUAUGACAUGACCUAAAAUAGUGUUAGUUUUAAGUUGGGGCGACUACGGAGCAAAAAACCCCCUCCAUGACACAGGCCAACACCAUCCAAGACCUACAGGUCAACGAAAAACACCAUAGACCCAGUAAACACUGAGCAACGAACCAAGUUACCCCAGGGAUAACAGCGCCAUCCCCCUAAAGAGUCCAUAUCGCUAGGGGGGCUUACGACCUCGAUGUUGGAUCAGGACUCCCAAGUGGUGCAGCCGCUACUAAAGGUUCGUUUGUUCAACGAUUAAUGUCCU
rnacentral:rRNA from 1 species